rnacentral:lncRNA from 1 species
GGCCUCGAAGGCUAGAAUACGAAAGCUCGAUAAACACACGAGUCAGCGGAAGCAACAAUAUCUGAGUACAAACAUAAAACAUGGGGUGCCUUAGAGAAGGCUAGCACAAAAGAUACAACGAUCGAACGAGGCGAGGCCUCCUGCCUGGGAACCUCCUAACUACUCCUGAUCAUCAGCGGCCUCCACGUAGUAGUAGGCACCGUCGGGGUAGCAGUCGUCGGCGGCGGGGACCUCCAUCUC